rnacentral:tRNA from 1 species
UGGGGUAGAGCUCAAUGGUAGAGCGCAUGCUUAUUAGCAUUCAUGAGGUCUUGGGUUCAAGUCCCCCUACCUUAA